rnacentral:rRNA from 1 species
UACGUAGGGGGCAAGCGUUGUCCGGAAUCAUUGGGCGUAAAGCGCGCGUAGGCGGCCCGAUCAGUCCGCUGUAAAAGCCCAGGGCUCAACCCUGGAAAGCCGGUGGAUACUGUCGGGCUAGAGUCCGGAAGAGGCGAGUGGAAUUCCUGGUGUAGCGGUGAAAUGCGCAGAUAUCAGGAGGAACACCUAUGGCGAAGGCAGCUCGCUGGGACGGUACUGACGCUGAGGCGCGAAAGCGUGGGGAGCGAACAGG